rnacentral:rRNA from 1 species
AGCUCCAAUAGCGUAUAUUAAAGUUGUUGCAGUUAAAAAGCUCGUAGUUGAACUUUGGGCCUGGGCGGGCGGUCUACCUAUGGUUUGUACUGCUGCGGCCGGGUCUUUCCUUCUGGCUACCCCUCCGGGGGGAACCAGGACGAUUACUUUGAGGAAAUUAGAGUGUUCAAAGCAGGCCUUUGCUCGGAUAUAUUAGCAUGGAAUAAUAGAAUAGGACGUAUGGUUCUAUUUUGUUGGUUUCUAGGACCAUCGUAAUGAUUAAUAGGGACGGUCGGGGGCAUCAGUAUUCAGUCGUCAGAGGUGAAAUUCUUGGAUUGACUGAAGACUAACUACUGCGAAAGCAUUUGCCAAGGACGUUUUCA